CUUUUGACCUACUGGCUACCUUCCAAGGCCUAGAAAACAAAUGAGGAGAAUGGAAGUUCCUUGAAUCAGAUGCUUUUGGAGCCUUGGAUCAUAUCCACCUCUAAUAUUGGCUGAAGUCACAGUGUUCCCAUUUUCUAUGGCACAGAAUUCCCUGAGACAUUGAAAAGCAGUUGCAGGUGUUGAUGCAGUAAUACAUCAAAGAGACUUCACCUCUGUAAAAAUCAAUGCUAACGUAACCUUGAUUACUGUUCUUGUGGAUGUCACAUAUAACACUAAUCAGUCAUGGUUUGUAGCAAACAUCUUAGAGAACAAAUAUAAUU